UUGAAUCGUCGAUGAAGCACGAGAGCAAACCGAGAGCAGCCGACAGCUGAAGGUACGGCAGCGGCCAGAUGAGGUACCGCCGUCAGAUAGGUUGACCAAUAAACCACGUUGAAGAAGAGGAAAGAGAAGGGGAAGAGCGCUCUGGCAUAGAGGUCGACGCGUUUAGCAGCAGCAGGAAGCAAACCUCACUGCUAUCCGUAGGAACCAGCGAAUCUUUACCAGGGCGGCGAGCAGCCGAAACAUCCUACUCUCCACUCCACACGGCCGGUCGAGGCAAGCUGCUCAAACUACAUCUUUAUGACUGGAGGAACGUCUCCUCCUCAGCGUGGCCCAAACUCCCUGGCAGGAAGCCACGAACCGGAGAGCGAUAAAUUUACCUUGGGGACUCUGCUGGGGCCAAUGUUGCUAACCUCAGCUCAUCAGGUCGACCAACUGCAGUGAGGCAAGUCAGCUCUUUCUGUUCACACAUGUUGAGGCUGGAAUCCCAGGUCGUUAUCUGCUGAUAAUAAACUCACAUUUUCUUCUUGGUAGUCGAGUCAACCGAGUUUAAGCUCACUAUAUGAUGACUUUGGUAGACAUACACUGAUCUUUACUGGAUUAAAAAAAAAAAAAAAACUUUGUUCUGAACUGGAUCCAGGUAUUUAUGGGUAAAUCUCUAUAAGUUUGAAUAUGUGUUCAAAUGGACCGAUUUUCAGAAUAAAAGUAUCUUUUGAAAAUGACCUUUAAGCAGGUAUUAAAAA